GACGAACGCUGGCGGCGUGCCUAAUACAUGCAAGUUGAGCGCUGAAGGUUGGUACUUGUCCCAACUGGAUGAGCAGCGAACGGGUGAGUAACGCGUGGGGAAUCUGCCUUUGAGCGGGGGACAACAUUUGGAAACGAAUGCUAAUACCGCAUAAAAACUUUAAACACAAGUUUUAAGUUUGAAAGAUGCAAUUGCAUCACUCAAAGAUGAUCCCGCGUUGUAUUAGCUAGUUGGUGAGGUAAAGGCUCACCAAGGCGAUGAUACAUAGCCGACCUGAGAGGGCGAUCGGCCACAUUGGGACUGAGACACGGCCCAAACUCCUACGGGAGGCAGCAGUAGGGAAUCUUCGGCAAUGGACGAAAGUCUGACCGAGCAACGCCGCGUGAGUGAAGAAGGUUUUCGGAUCGUAAAACUCUGUUGGUAGAGAAGAACGUCGGUGAGAGUGGAAAGCUCAUCAAGUGACGGUAACUACCCAGAAAGGGACGGCUAACUACGUG
rnacentral:rRNA from 1 species